AUAGCGUAUAUUAAAGUUGUUGCGGUUAAAAAGCUCGUAGUUGGAUCUCAGUUCCAGACGGGUGGUCCGCCUACCGGUGGUUACUGCCUGUUCUGAACAGCCAGCCGGUUUCUCUUGAUGAUCUUCACCGGUUGUCUUGAGUGACCGGCAAAUUUACCUUGAAAAAAUUAGAGUGCUCAAGGCAGGCGUGACGCCUGAACAAUGGUGCAUGGAAUAAUGGAAUAGGGCCUCGGUUCUAUUUUGUUGGUUUUCGGAACACGAGGUAAUGAUUAAGAGGGACAGACGGGGGCAUUCGUAUUGCGACGCUAGAGGUGAAAUUCUUGGACCGUCGCAAGACGAACUACUG
rnacentral:rRNA from 1 species